UUCACACUCCUGUUUGGAGCGGAAACCUCCUCCAAGUUAUUAGAGAAGUGGGACUCCACCUUCAAAUGCAAAAUCAUUGAAGAAGCAAGAUGCUUGACUCAGACUCACACUGUACGCCACCUUCUGAUGUCUGCAGAGAACCAAGACGCUGAACCAAGCGCUGAAUGGGACACGGAUAUAGCUACUCUACUGCUCUUAAUACACCUCCUCCCACCACAACCUGUCGGCAAGAAGUCUGUGAAGAUCAGUGCAGAUGCUGCAUCUGAAAGGCUCAUUGUUUAUCACUGAGAACACUUUGAAAAUUUUUAAAAAUAUAACAAAAUCCCUGGCUAAGAAACACCAGUUGGCAAUAGGCUAUCACUGGGAGAACCUUGCAUUAAAUAGGAGAGAAUUAGGUCCUUUAAAAGUAUUCAACACUGAUUAUGAUUUCACACAAUAUUUGGCCACCAUAAAUAAGACAAGCAGCACAGUAUAUAGCACUACAUGGGUCAAACUGGAUGGGUUAGAGUACAAGGAGGGAAAUGUUAUUUGCACUGAUAUACACGAUGAGCAACCAGUUUUUUGUAAAAUUUUUAAAAUUUGUCUGAUUGAAGAUGAUGUGUGUUUUCUUGUUAAUGAAUUUAUAACUAUGUGUUUUUAUGAGCAUUUCCAUGCAUAUGAAGUUAAUUUGGGUGAAGAAAGUUACUUUAUCAUUACAUUGAAUGACCUACAUAUGCACAAGGCUUUCGAUGUUCAAACAGCCUAUGGUCUGAAUGGGAAAUAUAUUGUCCCUGUGCAUUCAAUUUUUUAAAAAUGGGUCAAACUGGAUGGGUUAGAGUACAAGGAGGGAAAUGUUAUUUGCACUGAUAUACACGAUGAGCAACCAGUUUUUUGUAAAAUUUUUAAAAUUUGUCUGAUUGAAGAUGAUGUGCGUUUUCUUGUUAAUGAAUUUAUAACUGUGUUUUUAUGAGCAUUUCCAUGCAUAUGAAGUUAAUUUGGGUGAAGAAAGUUACUUUAUCAUUACAUUGAAUGACCUACAUAUGCACAAGGCUUUCGAUGUUCAAACAGCCUAUGGUCUGAAUGGUAAAUAUAUUGUCCCUGUGCAUUCAAUUUUUUAAAAAUGCGGUCAAUAAAAGAAAUGAAAUGAA